UUUGUCAUUAUAGCAUCCGUCUCAUGAUUGUCAUGCAAAGGAGCAGUUGAACCUCCAUCAUCAUCAUCAUCUGGCACUGCUUCACCAUUAAGAUCUAGAUCAGAAGAUCUCUUCCACUCUGGGGUUGGUGGGCAAACAACCAUUUCUGGUUUUGUUUCAUGAUAAAAUUCAUAUAAUGUCUUAAUAUAGUCCGGUUUAUAGAUUCCUGGAGGACGUGCUUCAGCAAAUAAUUUUAUUGCCUGUGUGACAGACAUUGAAAGUGACCGCAUUAUGUAAUGGACAAUCAUAUAUCCUGUGCGAUUAUGCCCAUGCGUACAAUG
rnacentral:misc_RNA from 1 species